AUGGACCAAUGAUGUAAUAAGAAAUAAACUGCGUUAUCUAUCUGCAAUUUCCCAAAUGGAAUUGAAGAUUAAUUUGUCUUCCUGAGGGUCCUGU